rnacentral:hammerhead_ribozyme from 1 species
GUCCAACUGACGAGUCCCAAAUAGGAUGAAACGCUCUUUCUGGAU